AGAGAUUUACCCAGGGUCUCCGGCUCUUAGCAACUGAAUUGGGUGCUAAGUUUUUUUUUUGCCGCCAAAGCCUUGGAGGGGGCAGCAAAUUCAGAUGCCUUUAGGGGCCAGAUAAAUCAUAUGAGUCAGAGGGCGAGGUGUAAGACAAUAGAAGAGAUGGAGACAGACAGAUGGACCUAAAGACAUUCGAAUUCAAAAUAUUAAAACACCGCAUCUUCCUCAAAAAGUUAAACAUAGAGUUACCAUAUGACCCAGCAAUUCCACUCCUAUCUAUGGACCCAAAAGAACUGAAAACAGCAACUCAAACAAGUACUUGCACACGAAUGUUCAUAACAGGACUAUUCACAAUAACCAAAAGAUGGAUACAGUCCCAAUUGUCCAGCAACUGAUGAAUGGAUAAACACAUUGUGGUAUGUCCAUACGAUGGAAUAUUAUUCAGCCAUGAAAAAGAAUGAGGUUCUGAUACAUGCUACAACGUGGAAGAACUUUCCAAAAAUUAUGCUGUGAAAGAAACCAGUCACAAAAGGCCACAUGUGGUAUGAUUCCACUUAUGCGAAGACUCAUUUGAAAACAUUGGCUAUAUUACCAAGGCUUUGACUGGAAUGUCAUAUUUGAGAGAAACAUACAGGCUCAGAUAUGACAAGACAGCUUUUCAGGAACAAAAAUUGGACCUUCUGGAAUAAAGCCACUUGGAAAUAUUGGCCUGGUUGUUUACAGAGAUUCAGGCAAUCUUACCUGUUUCACUUCCUGGACCACUUCCCGUCAAAUGAUUCUCUCGUCUCCAGAGGAUCUGUAUACCUUGUCAGCCUUGGACUCCACGGGCGCAAGCUUCUCAUCUGCUGAACUUCCUGCCUUGUACCCCUGUGGCCCCAUUUAGGGACGGCUCUACGACCUUGUGCAGCCGGAAGUAGUUACAGAAGACUGACCAUCGUCCAUAUCCCCAAAGGAUUUCGGGGCCAAAUGGGUUCAGGGGGCAUUUUAUGAUGGGAGAAAGGCCCAAGGCGUCCUGUCCUACACACCGAUCUAUAUCAUCCUCCGGGAAGCAGAGGACAUCCUGACUUAAUCCGACCUGAUUCCUAUGCAACGUUAUAGGACCACCCGAUAACCAGACCCCACCUGCACUGAUACCAUUUUAAUGACUUUUUUUAACAUGAUUUUUCCUUUGUCUUGUAAAGAGAUAACUCACAUACCUAUGCCUUAUAAAUUUAGCCCUACCCUUAACCCAUUGCAGCUCUUACUGCCCAUGGGUCCUGUCCCCAUGCUACUCCAUGCUAUUCUCUGAAUAAAAGAGCACUACUGCCAGA
rnacentral:lncRNA from 1 species